UUCUUCCCCUUUCUUUGUGUCUCUCUGCCUUUAAUUUGCCUGAGGAUCAUUCAUAUGAGUCUUUUGGAAUAAUUUACUCAAUUAAACAAUGGAACCUCAACUGCAAAACAAUUCAUCAUGUUUUUUUCCAUCAUUAUGUUUGUUCCUGAACUUCCCUCCAGCUCUAUCCUGGAACCCUUAAGGAAAAUGGAAAACAGGGCGUCCACGAAAUACCCGGAGGCGGGAGCUAGCAGCAGAUACCAAAAGAUGUGGCAUGGGGUGGAACGAGAUAGACAAGAACUAAGAGUGCCCCCCCCUACCCCCAACAAACGAAGCAUGGGGACAUGGAGUCUGUGCUUCUCUGUACGGGUUUGUGUGGAAACGUGAAGGGAACUCCCAUCGGCUGGGUAAGGAUUGUUGGAAGGGUAGGGGUGGGCUCUUGGGAUCCAUUAUCAUCCAAAACUCUUUAUGUUACUAGUAUUACGUCUGUGGCGAAAGCAGGAAGGCAGACAUCUCCUGUUUGACUUGGCCGGAGAGCUAGGUGGUGGUGGAGAAGAUGCUUGCUUCCUGAAACCCAAAGAGAUUGACUAUCAUUCAGUGAUAUAUACAGUAUAUUGAAGUAUUAAUUUACAUUCUCUAAAAUAUUCAGAACAGGAUUUUUAAAAUGUAUUUAAUUGACAAUUUCAGACCAUAUCCCUUUUCCCCAAUAUAACACAUUUUGAC
ensembl:lncRNA